rnacentral:snoRNA from 1 species
AAGACUAUACUUUCAGGGAUCAUUUCUAUAGUUCGUUAGUUUCUUUCUUAUGACUUUGCUUGCUCUAAGUUCCUCAUGUGAGUACAAUCACACAGC